UACGAAGGGGGCUAGCGUUGCUCGGAAUCACUGGGCGUAAAGCGCACGUAGGCGGACUCUUAAGUCGGUGGUGAAAUCCUGGAGCUCAACUCCAGAACUGCCUUCGAUACUGAGAGUAUCGAGUCCGGGAGAGGUGAGUGGAACUGCGAGUGUAGAGGUGAAAUUCGUAGAUAUUCGCAAGAACACCAGUGGCGAAGGCGGCUCACUGGCCCGGUACUGACGCUGAGGUGCGAAAGCGUGGGGAGCAAACAGG
rnacentral:rRNA from 1 species